rnacentral:rRNA from 1 species
GACGAACGCUGGCGGCGUGCUUAACACAUGCAAGUCGAACGGAAAGGCCCUGCUUUUGUGGGGUGCUCGAGUGGCGAACGGGUGAGUAACACGUGAGUAACCUGCCCUUGACUUUGGGAUAACUUCAGGAAACUGGGGCUAAUACCGGAUAGGAGCUCCUGCUGCAUGGUGGGGGUUGGAAAGUUUCGGCGGUUGGGGAUGGACUCGCGGCUUAUCAGCUUGUUGGUGGGGUAGUGGCUUACCAAGGCUUUGACGGGUAGCUGGCCUGAGAGGGUGACCGGCCACAUUGGGACUGAGAUACGGCCCAGACUCCUACGGGAGGCAGCAGUGGGGAAUAUUGCACAAUGGGCGGAAGCCUGAUGCAGCAACGCCGCGUGCGGGAUAACGGCCUUCGGGUUGUAAACCGCUUUCGCCUGUGACGAAGCGUGAGUGACGGUAAUGGGUAAAGAAGCACCGGCUAACUACGUG